UUUUCUCAUCUGUGGUGUCGUAGC
rnacentral:snRNA from 1 species